CCUACGGGAGGCAGCAGUGAGGAAUAUUGGACAAUGGGCGCAAGCCUGAUCCAGCCAUGCCGCGUGCAGGAAGACGCAUCUAUGGUGUGUAAACUGCUUUUGUACGGGAAGAAACACUCCUUCGUGAAGGAGCUUGACGGUACCGUAAGAAUAAGGAUCGGCUAACUCCGUGCCAGCAGCCGCGGUAAUACGGAGGAUCCAAGCGUUAUCCGGAAUCAUUGGGUUUAAAGGGUCCGUAGGCGGUUUAAUAAGUCAGUGGUGAAAUCUGGUCGCCCAACGAUCAAACGGCCAUUGAUACUGUUAGACUUGAAUUACUAGGAAGUAACUAGAAUAUGUAGUGUAGCGGUGAAAUGCUUAGAUAUUACAUGGAAUACCAAUUGCGAAGGCAGGUUACUACUAGUGGAUUGACGCUGAUGGACGAAAGCGUGGGGAGCGAACAGGAUUAGAUACCCUGGUAGUCCACGCCGUAAACGAUGGAUACUAGCUGUUGGGCGCAAGUUCAGUGGCUAGGCGAAAGUGAUAAGUAUCCACCUGGGGAGUACGUUCGCAAGAAGUAGUUAAGUUAAAUAGUUAGUUAGUAGNGNGNGAGNGCGAGGACGACGACGAGGAGGAGG
rnacentral:rRNA from 1 species